rnacentral:rRNA from 1 species
CAGUAGCCGCGGGAAUACGUAGGGUGCAAGCGUUAAUCGGAAUUACUGGGCGUAAAGCGUGCGCAGGCGGUUCUAUAAGACAGAUGUGAAAUCCCCGGGCUCAACCUGGGAACUGCAUUUGUGACUGUAGAGCUGGAGUGCGGCAGAGGGGGAUGGAAUUCCGCGUGUAGCAGUGAAAUGCGUAGAUAUGCGGAGGAACACCGAUGGUGAAGGCAAUCCCCUGGGCCUGCACUGACGCUCAUGCACGAAAGCGUGGGGAGCAAACAGGAUUAGAUACCCGUGUAGUCCCUGUCUCUUAUAC